CUACGGGAGGCAGCAGUGGGGAAUAUUGCACAAUGGGGGGAACCCUGAUGCAGCAACGCCGCGUGGAGGAUGACGCAUUUCGGUGUGUAAACUCCUUUUAUAUGUCAAGAAAAUGACGGUAGCAUAUGAAUAAGCGCCGGCUAACUCCGUGCCAGCAGCCGCGGUAAUACGGAGGGCGCAAGCGUUACUCGGAAUCACUGGGCGUAAAGGACGCGUAGGCGGGUUGAAAAGUCAGGUGUGAAAGCCUUCAGCUUAACUGUAGAACUGCACUUGAAACUCUCAAUCUAGAGUAUGGGAGGGGCAGAUGGAAUUAGUGGUGUAGGGGUAAAAUCCGUAGAUAUCACUAGGAAUACCUAAAGCGAAGGCGAUCUGCUAGAACAUUACUGACGCUAAGGCGUGAAAGCGUGGGGAGCAAACAGGAUUAGAUACCCCAGUAGUC
rnacentral:rRNA from 1 species